CACGUAGGGCGCAAGCGUUGUCCGGAAUUAUUGGGCGUAAAGAGCGUGUAGGCGGCCCGAUUAGUCUGCUGUGAAAGUCCAGGGCUCAACCCUGGAAUGCCGGUGGAUACUGUCGGGCUAGAGUCCGGAAGGGGCGAGUGGAAUUCCUGGUGUAGCGGUGAAAUGCGCAGAUAUCAGGAGGAACACCAAUGGCGAAGGCAGCUCGCUGGGACGUGACUGACGCUGAGACGCGAAAGCGUGGGGAGCAAACAGG
rnacentral:rRNA from 1 species